rnacentral:lncRNA from 1 species
GGGGCGCUGCGCACCGCGCGCAACUCGCGACAUUACGGUAGCGGCGGCGGGGCCGGGCCCCGGCGGUGAGGUGGCGGCCGGGCGGCCCGCAGGUGAGUGCCCUCCGCCGCGCCGCCGGGACCGCCGGGGGGGGGGGCUCGGCCCGGCCCCGACCCCCGCGGGGUGCCCGGCCGUUAGGUGGGGGCCUUGUGGCGCGUUCCGAGCCGGAGCGGCCGCCCGGUGCCUCAGCGGGCGCCGGGAGCCGUGCGGUAACGGCGCCGUGCCUUGGGAGCAGCGGGGAGCGCCAGCAGCCGCGUGGCUGGCCUGGGGGUAGCACCGAACUGUUCCACCCGCAGAGAUUCCCUUUGCCUCUAGGAAGUACACGAAGAGGUAAUGGCAUCUUUGCUUUUGAAAUUAUGCCGUAAGCAACAGCUACGCUUCUCCUUGGGCUCCUUCUGCAUCGAUGUAGCAGCGUAACAGCUCACAAAUUAUACUCUGAAGUUCCUUUGUCCUGCCAGUAUUGCCGCUUGAGCUCCUCAGCUUUCUGAAAGCAACCAGAAGGGUGUGUUAAUUCCAGGAAAGAAAUUAAAAUGUGCUAAAGCUUAACCGUAUAUAAAUUUGUAGUUAGUUUCUCUUUCAGUGGAUGUUCUUCUUUUGGAAGGACCUUGCUGAGCUGAGCAUUCAUUUCAUCUUUUUUUGCCUCACAGUUUUGGAAGGUCUGCAUUCCAGAGUUGCACAGAGGGAAAGCUGCAGAACAGCAGCCUUAACAUGAUUAACCUCCUGCACUUAAUCAAAGUCUGCUCUGUGAGCUACUCGGAGAAGUACCCUUGGCGACCACUCAGUGAAAUUUGUUCUUAAUGUUUCAAAGCCUUCGGCUGCUUGCAGUCAUUCUCGUUCCUCGCAGUAACGCACACAAGGACAGAACAUUCUACCAGUUGCCCUAAUUUGAAAGAAAGAUCGCAUACAGCUGCACAGUUGUCUUUGUAUGAAGCAAACAAUGGUCUGUAUGUGGAAAAUGGAUUGCAGACAACCUAAUGCUGGCCAGCGAAAGUCACCCUCCCUGGUGGUUAAAAUUUAUCUGGAAAGAUGAGAACAAGAACAACCGUUCAGAGAAAGACUUGGCAUUCCUGCAUUUAAGCUGAACAAGAGUUUAGAUUCACGUGCUGCAUAAAAUAUUUCUAAACAUAAGGAGGAUAGGGGAUCAGGGAGAAAAAGGAAGAAACUCAGGAAAGGAUGCUAGAUGGUUCUUAGAGCUAGAGCUUUACAGAAAGACACAAGCAAAAGUACUAAGCGUUAAUUAAAACAUAUCAAGAGGUGAUGGCAUUAAAAUAAUCAAGCACAAGAAAGACUGAUAGGUGUACUGAAACAGCUGAAUUUACAGUGCUAAAAUAAGGGGUUUUUUUAACCUGUUUCAUGAAGGACUUUGAGAUAACAAAGCAGUUUGUAUAAAAAAGCUGUAGGUUUUAUGGAUUCCAAAUGUAUUUUAACAUACAUCGUUGGAAAGCUUGAAAAACAGCGGUGUAGGUAAAGGUAGUGAAUAUCGCUAUACUUUGCACUGCAGUGACUCUGGAAAUGCAAACACAGGAGUAAAAGACAGUAGUGAUGAGUGUUGAUGAAGACUGGUCAAUGAAGAAAAUAGCACACAAUCAAUUUUUUGGUUUAUAACGUUCUCUUAAAUAGUUUCAUUGGAUAUGUUCAGAAACUAUUUUUAAUUUCAGGAGUUAAAAAUAUAGGAAGCUUGCCUUUUACUAGCCUUUUAAAUAAAAUCAAAUACUCUAGGAUAAAUAUUGCCA